UCCGUAUGAUGAAAUUUUCCCUACAUUCGCAGUUUCCACUCGAGUCCUAAAAGAGCCUUUUCUGGACAAAUGAGAGCGAAUCCUUCCUUGGAUGUCUGACGGA
rnacentral:snoRNA from 1 species